GCGAGGAGGGGCGGGAGAGAGGACAUGUCAGCCGUCAGUGAUUUAUUUUACCCAUUGUUUUUUUAAGUGUCGUUUGACGUGCGCGAUCCUCGACCUCAUUAUCGUGUUUGCUAAGGCUUCGGCGUGGCCAGGAGGUAAUCAGGUGACAGCAAAAGAAAAUAACGACAAGAGUUUCAAAGAUGAAAAAAACAACAGGACAGCAUAUCAACAACAAUGACUACCACCACCACCAACAACAACAACAACAACGACAACAACAACAGCUUUCACAGAGAUUCAGUGAAUGUUCUCGUCUCCGAUCCAGAUGCCAUGACGAGGAGAACGCACUGAUUGUAAACAAGCCUUCUCUUCAGGCACAACGAAGAGGACCCAGUGGGUACGGUUGGGAAUAGGGGAACAUGCCGGGCCAGGGCGCGCCUCGUGUCUUCACCCGUCUACUUAAGUUGCUCCUGCCUCAGCGGAGCCACGCUCGCCGGUGAGUGACAAGGACUCCUGCUGAACGUACCCUAUUUGUGGCGCGUCGUAUACAUGUAAGCGGGACCGGGCAAGCAUUCUUAUGGGCAAAGCAACGCGCUGCACGGAACGGAUUUAUUGCGCGUUGUAUACGUGUAUGGCUGUACUGUUAUUUAUUUUGUAUUGUUAGAGUUCUUGCUCCCGAAUGAGACUCAGAUUUAUUGUGCGCUUUACGUGGCGUCACUGACAUUUCUUACCAAUAAAGCUGUUA